AUUGAACGCUGGCGGCAUGCCUUACACAUGCAAGUCGAACGGCAGCGCGGGGGCAACCCUGGCGGCGAGCGGCGGACGGGUGAGGAAUGCAUCGGAAUCUACCCUGUCGUGGGGAUAACGUAGGGAAACUUACGCUAAUACCGCAUACGACCGAGAGGUGAAAGUGGGGGACCUUCGGGCCUCACGCGAUUGGAUGAGCCGAUGCCGGAUUAGCUAGUUGGUGGGGUAAAGGCCCACCAAGGCGACGAUCCGUAGCUGGUCUGAGAGGAUGAUCAGCCACAUUGGGACUGAGACACGGCCCAAACUCCUACGGGAGGCAGCAGUGGGGAAUAUUGGACAAUGGGCGCAAGCCUGAUCCAGCCAUGCCGCGUGUGUGAAG
rnacentral:rRNA from 1 species